rnacentral:rRNA from 1 species
AACGAACGCUGGCGGCAUGCCUAACACAUGCAAGUCGAACGAGACCUUCGGGUCUAGUGGCGCACGGGUGCGUAACGCGUGGGAACCUGCCCUUAGGUUCGGAAUAACUCCCCGAAAGGGGUGCUAAUACCGGAUAAUGUCUUCGGACCAAAGAUUUAUCGCCUUUGGAUGGGCCCGCGUUGGAUUAGCUAGUUGGUAGGGUAAAAGCCUACCAAGGCGACGAUCCAUAGCUGGUCUGAGAGGAUGAUCAGCCACACUGGGACUGAGACACGGCCCAGACUCCUACGGGAAGCAGGAGUGGGGAAUAGUGGACAGUGGGCGAAAGCCUGAUGCAGCAAUGACGCGUGAGUGAUGAAGGCCUUAGGGUUGUAAAGCUCUUUUACCCGGGAUGAUAAUGACAGUACCGGGAGAAUAAGCUCCGGCUAACUCCGUG